ACUCCUACGGGAGGCAGCAGUGGGAAGUAUUGCAUCAAUGGCAGGCAAGCCAUGCAUGCAGCCAUGCCGCGUGUGUGAAGAAGGCCUUCGGGUUGUAAAGCACUUUCAGUAGGGAGGAAGGUAGUGUAGUUAACACCUGCAUUAUUUGACGUUACCUACAGAAGAAGCACCGGCUAACUCCGUGCCAGCAGCCGCGGUAAUACGGAGGGUGCGAGCGUUAAUCGGAAUUACUGGGCGUAAAGCGCAUGCAGGCGGCCUGUUAAGUCAGAUGUGAAAGCC
rnacentral:rRNA from 1 species